rnacentral:rRNA from 1 species
UACGGGGGGUGCAAGCGUUGUUCGGAAUUACUGGGCGUAAAGGGCUCGUAGGCGGCCUACUAAGUCAGACGUGAAAUCCCUCGGCUUAACCGGGGAACUGCGUCUGAUACUGGAUGGCUUGAAUCCGGGAGAGGGAUGCAGAAUUCCAGGUGUAGCGGUGAAAUGCGUAGAUAUCUGGAGGAAUACCGGUGGCGAAGGCGGCAUCCUGGACCGGCAUUGACGCUGAGGAGCGAAAGCCAGGGGAGCAAACGGG